rnacentral:rRNA from 1 species
GACGAACGCUGGCGGCGUGCUUAACACAUGCAAGUCGAACGGAAAGGCCCCUUUGGGGGUACUCGAGUGGCGAACGGGUGAGUAACACGUGAGUAACCUGCCCUUGACUUCGGGAUAACUUCAGGAAACUGGGGCUAAUACCGGAUAGGAAUCCUUGCUGCAUGGUGGGGGUUGGAAAGCUUCGGCGGUUUUGGAUGGACUCGCGGCUUAUCAGCUUGUUGGUGGGGUAGUGGCUUACCAAGGCUUUGACGGGUAGCCGGCCUGAGAGGGCGAACGGCCACAUUAGGACUGAGAUACGGCCCAGACUCCUACGGGAGGCAGCAGUGGGGAAUAUUGCACAAUGGGCGGAAGCCUGAUGCAGCAACGCCGCGUGCGGGAUGACGGCCUUCGGGUUGUAAACCGCUUUCAGCAGGGGCGAAGCUUGUGGUGACGGUACCUGCAGAAGAAGCACCGGCUAACUACGUG